rnacentral:rRNA from 1 species
UGAGUAUUUGGUCGUAGACCCGAAACCAGGUGAUCUACCCUUGGUCAGGUUGAAGUUCAGGUAACACUGAAUGGAGGACCGAACCGACUUACGUUGAAAAGUGAGCGGAUGAACUGAGGGUAGCGGAGAAAUUCCAAUCGAACUUGGAGAUAGCUGGUUCUCUCCGAAAUAGCUUUAGGGCUAGCCUCAAGUGAUGAUUAUUGGAGGUAGAGCACUGUUUGGACGAGGGGCCCCUCUCGGGUUACCGAAUUCAGACAAACUCCGAAUGCCAAUUAAUUUAACUUGGGAGUCAGAACAUGGGUGAUAAGGUCCGUGUUCGAAAGGGAAACAGCCCAGACCACCAGCUAAGGUCCCAAAAUAUAUGUUAAGUGGAAAAGGAUGUGGCGUUGCCCAGACAACUA